UCCCUACCUUUCUUCCUCGGUAUCCCCUCAUUCCUCCCCGAUCCAAUCCACCAGCCACUGCUCUCCAUCGCAUCACAACAUCGACCAACCACCGCACAGCCAGCCACCUCCCUGACCCAGCGCUCGAUCCAGAUGGGAUUGAGGCAACCACCGGUGUCCUCCUCGACGCCUCCCCUCGCGUUGUGCCGCCAGCUUCCUCUCCGUCCAGUCCCGUCCCCUGCUCCUACCCUUCGCCAUGGCCGCCCUGAUCUCCAGCCAUGGACAGCCGCUGCCGGAGCUCGUCUUCCCCGCCGUUGGCUAGAGCCCUAGGCCAGUGACCCAAGCCUCUUCCUUCCUUCCCUUUUCCCUCACGCACUCUCUUCCUCCUCCAUGACCUCUCUAUCUUCCUUGACGCCAUGGAAAGGAGCACUCAACCAUGGUACAGUCAACUCCGGUCCGUCCAGCGACCUCCGUGCCUCGUCGCCGAUCAGAUUCGUGCCUCCUCCGUCGUUUCCCACGCCGGACCCCGCUACUGCCUCCCCUGCUUCUGCUGUGCGAGGACGACGACGCAUCCAGCAAGCGCCCGCUCAUCCCAGCCACGUUGACCGCCUCCCUCCGAACUCACCGGCGUCACCACGGAGCUUCCCCGACCUCUCCUUCACUCUGACCCACGUCUCUGGUGGCCUUGUCGUUGUCGUCACCUAGGAGCUCGUCCGUUUCCCGAGAUCUCCACCGACCGCGCCCUUCGACGGGAACCACGUUGUCCGGCUCGUCCCGCCUCCCGCGGGCCUCCCCGUCGCCUGCCGAAGUUCCUACUGCCGCCAUCGUCGUUCGAGGCUAGUGCCUCUGCUUCGAACCAGGGUGCUGACGCCUCCAGCGCCUGCGUUGACCGAGCACAGCCUAGCCGACCCAGUUCGCCUCUGCCUCACAGGGCCAAGCCCAUGGUUCCGGUUACGUUGCGAUUGUGAGGAUCCGUCCGAGUACGUUGGUUCGUCUACUUCAUGGAUUCGGUCUUCUUCCUAGCAGGAUUUCAGGCAAGAUGACUGUCACCUUGGAUCCCACUACUAUCUUUGCUAUGCUAGUUGUCUCGA